CCCUACGGGGUGCAGCAUGCGCGAAAACUUUACAAUGCGAGCAAUCGUGAUAAGGGAACUCCGAGUGCCUGUAAAAUCAGGCUGUCCGCCAGUUUAAAUAACUGGUGAAGAAAGGGCCGGGCAAGACCGGUGCCAGCCGCCGCGGUAAUACCGGCGGCUCGAGUGGUGGCCACUAUUACUGGGCUUAAAGCGUUCGUAGCUGGUCUGUUAAGUCUCUGGGGAAAUCUUCCGGCUUAACCGGAAGGCGUCUCAGGGAUACUGGCAGACUAGGGACCGGAAGAGGUGAGAGGUACUCCAGGGGUAGGAGUGAAAUCCUGUAAUCCUUGGGGGACCACCUGUGGCGAAGGCGUCUCACCAGGACGGCUCCGACAGUGAGGAACGAAAGCUGGGGGAGCAAACCGGAUUAGAUACCCGGGUAGUCCCAGCUGUAAACGAUGCACGUUAGGUGUAUCGGUGACCACGAGUCACCGAGGUGCCGAAGAGAAAUCGUGAAACGUGCCGCCUGGGAAGUACGGUCGCAAGGCUGAAACUUAAAGGAAUUGGCGGGGGAGCAC
rnacentral:rRNA from 1 species